GGGGGCCCGCACAAGCAGCGGAGCAUGUGGUUUAAUUCGACGCAACGCGAAGAACCUUACCUGGGCUUGACAUGUUGGUGACCGCCGUGGAAACACGGUUUUCCUUCGGGACACCAUCACAGGUGGUGCAUGGCUGUCGUCAGCUCGUGUCGUGAGAUGUUGGGUUAAGUCCCGCAACGAGCGCAACCCCCGUUCCAUGUUGCCAGCAUUCAGUUGGGGACUCAUGGGAGACUGCCGGUGACAAACCGGAGGAAGGUGGGGAUGACGUCAAGUCAUCAUGCCCCUUAUGUCCAGGGCUACACACGUGCUACAUUGGCGCAUACAAAGGGCUGCAAUACCGCGAGGUGGAGCGAAUCCCAGAAAGUGCGUCUCGGUUCGGAUUGGAGGCUGAAACUCGCCUCCAUGAAGCUGGAGUUGCUAGUAAUCGCAGAUCAGCAAUGCUGCGGUGAAUACGUUCCCGGGCCUUGUACACACCGCCCGUCACACCACGAAAGCAGGUAACACCCGAAGCCGGUGGCCUAACCUUUUGGAGGGAGCCGUCGAAGGUGGGACUUGUGAUUGGGGUGAAGUCGUAACAAGGUAACCGUAAGGGC
rnacentral:rRNA from 1 species